AUUUAACCCGGAGCCCGCCUUGGGGUUGCCCUGACGCGACCGCUUUGUAAGAGUCGCAGCACGCACUGCGAGCGUUCAUUUGCUUGUCGUAGGAAGUGACGGAGGAUGAGAGGUGACCUGAUAGAGGUGUGUAAGAUGAUGAGAGGCAUUGAUCGUGUGGAUCGUCAGAGGCUUUUUCCCAGGGCUGAAAUGGCUAACAUGAGAGGGCACAGUUUUAAGGUGCUUGGAAGCAGGUACAGAGCAGAUGUCAAGGGUAGAAGGUACAGGAGCCUCAGGACUCAUACCACCAGGUACAAGAACAGUUACUACCCCUCAAAAAUCAGGCUCUUGAACAAAAGGGGAUAACUUCACUCAACUUCACUUGUCCCCAUCAUUGAAAUUUUCCCACAACCUAUGGACUAAAUUUCAAGGACUCUUCACCUUAUGUUCUCAUAUUUAUUGUUACUUAUUUAUUUAUAUUUGCAUUUGCACAGUUUGUUGUCUUCUGCACUCUGGUUGAACGCCCUAGAUGUUCACUGAUCCUGUUAUAGUUUCUAAUCUAUAGAUUUGUUGGGUGUGCCCACAAGAAAAUGAAUCUCAGAACUGUAUAUAUGGUGACAUACUUGUACUUUGAUAAUAGCAUUUACUUUUAACUUUGAGCUUUAAUACUAUGAUGUCAAAAACACUUAGUGGUUCUGACUGGAGCAUGGGCACAUUAAUUUGUAUCAGUGCCUGGAUCAAAUUGUUCUGCUGUUCCCCUUCUUGCUCCUAACAGGGUCUU